GCCGACUUAGCUCAAUGGUGGAGCGCAGGAAAAUAUUGAAUCUUGUAAAAGGUUUAUACAGCUAUAUUUGCAGAGUGGUCCUAAUGUUGCUGGUUCGAUUCCAGCAGUCGGCA
rfam:Ruminococcus torques L2-14 draft genome.